CACAGGCCCUGUGCUGUCUCAGCUGAGAGGUCCCCAUCUGCUGACUCACUCGCACCUGGGGCUUCUUGGCUGGUCAUCUGGAAAGGUACAAACUGAAGUUUUCUUUAUCCAAGGCAAUCUUUUAGAAGUCACCCUACGUUUCUUCAAAGCGUCUGGACGCAGUGUGGAACAUGGUUUAUUUCGUCCAUGUUGCAGCAGCCUGUGUUGGAACUCGCUGAGGUUUGAAGCCUGUCAUCAACAUACAGACUGACAUGAACUUUCAAUGGGGAGCCACAGAGGGCUGUACGGGCAAACAGGAGAAACGACAGGGUACCAAAGACUUCCCUGUCAGCUGAAGGGCACCCUGGAUGCAUGUCUCUGAGCCCUCACACUCCUGUAACCUGUGAAGGGUAAGCAAGCAGAACAGGUGAUGGGCCAUGCAUCUUCCUGACGCACUGUGAAGCAGGAAGAGAUGGAACAGUGGCUCUGGGUUACCGGUGAGGAGCGAGAAGCACCAACAUGGGUCUUCAUUCUGGAUUUCAUCUUCAAUAUUGAUCCACAGGCCU
rnacentral:lncRNA from 1 species